rnacentral:rRNA from 1 species
GAUGAACGCUAGCUACAGGCUUAACACAUGCAAGUCGAGGGGCAGCAUGGUCUUAGCUUGCUAAGGCCGAUGGCGACCGGCGCACGGGUGAGUAACACGUAUCCAACCUGCCGUCUACUCUUGGACAGCCUUCUGAAAGGAAGAUUAAUACAAGAUGGCAUCAUGAGUCCGCAUGUUCACAUGAUUAAAGGUAUUCCGGUAGACGAUGGGGAUGCGUUCCAUUAGAUAGUAGGCGGGGUAACGGCCCACCUAGUCUUCGAUGGAUAGGGGUUCUGAGAGGAAGGUCCCCCACAUUGGAACUGAGACACGGUCCAAACUCCUACGGGAGGCAGCAGUGAGGAAUAUUGGUCAAUGGGCGAGAGCCUGAACCAGCCAAGUAGCGUGAAGGAUGACUGCCCUAUGGGUUGUAAACUUCUUUUAUAAAGGAAUAAAGUCGGGUAUGGAUACCCGUUUGCAUGUACUUUAUGAAUAAGGAUCGGCUAACUCCGUGCCAGCAGCCGCGGUAAUACGGAGGAUCCGAGCGUUAUCCGGAUUUAUUGGGUUUAAAGGGAGCGUAGAUGGAUGUUUAAGUCAGUUGUGAAAGUUUGCGGCUCAACCGUAAAAUUGCAGUUGAUACUGGAUAUCUUGAGUGCAGUUGAGGCAGGCGGAAUUCGUGGUGUAGCGGUGAAAUGCUUAGAUAUCACGAAGAACUCCGAUUGCGAAGGCAGCCUGCUAAGCUGCAACUGACAUUGAGGCUCGAAAGUGUGGGUAUCAAACAGGAUUAGAUACCCUGGUAGUCCACACGGUAAACGAUGAAUACUCGCUGUUUGCGAUAUACUGCAAGCGGCCAAGCGAAAGCGUUAAGUAUUCCACCUGGGGAGUACGCCGGCAACGGUGAAACUCAAAGGAAUUGACGGGGGCCCGCACAAGCGGAGGAACAUGUGGUUUAAUUCGAUGAUACGCGAGGAACCUUACCCGGGCUUAAAUUGCAGAUGAAUUACGGUGAAAGCCGUAAGCCGCAAGGCAUCUGUGAAGGUGCUGCAUGGUUGUCGUCAGCUCGUGCCGUGAGGUGUCGGCUUAAGUGCCAUAACGAGCGCAACCCUUGUUGUCAGUUACUAACAGGUUCCGCUGAGGACUCUGACAAGACUGCCAUCGUAAGAUGUGAGGAAGGUGGGGAUGACGUCAAAUCAGCACAGCCCUUACGUCCGGGGCUACACACGUGUUACAAUGGGGGGUACAGAGGGCCGCUACCACGCGAGUGGAUGCCAAUCCCCAAAACCUCUCUCAGUUCGGACUGGAGUCUGCAACCCGACUCCACGAAGCUGGAUUCGCUAGUAAUCGCGCAUCAGCCACGGCGCGGUGAAUACGUUCCCGGGCCU